UUCUUUUGUUGUAGUUAUUUAGUAUAAUUCGAUCAUACUAGUGAGAUGAUGAUUGUUGAGUUUGACGUCAACGUAAUCAGUGAAAUUAUUGAGCCCUGAAAAGAGUGAAUGGCCGACCCUGGCACCAGGGCGUGAGAGAGGAAAUUCAUCACCUGACAUUGACACCUGACACGUAAUCAAAUUGUAGGAAUUCUUCCUCCAAUGAAAAGGCAGCGCCAGUCAAACUCGGCGUCCAGCAGAUGAAAACCAACAGCAAAACAACUUGGUUGGACCAGUGGACCUGUUGUUGUUGUGUCCAACUUAAAGUUUGAUCCAAGGCCGGCAUUGAUGUGAAUUUGUUAUAUCCACUUCCCCAUUCAAGGACGCCAGAGUGACACCAACCAAUUUAGUUUGAAUAAUUUUAUUCAUUUUUCAAGUGGUCGGAUUGAAACCUGAAUUCUUUAUUAUGGAUUCCCCUGGAGUCAACUGCGUCCAUCACCAUAAGGAAAAGGAUCAGCCGGGUUAAUCAUCUGGGAAAAAGACGAACCUGCUGGACAAGAGGAGCGGGUCACCUACGGUUUGGAUAUUAACAUCACAACAAAUUCUUAUCCCAAGGAUUGCAAAAAAGGUCCAUUCCGUAUAGUCUUUGCCGGAUGCAGUGCGGAAGCGUUGGCCAGUCGCAUCAACGACGCUGAAGCUAUGGUAGCUAUUACUGCUGGCCAAGGGGUGCGAAGUGGCAAAUUAAUUGAAUUGAAGAAAACGGUUGCGACAGCAGUUGGAAAAUGUCCGACUGUUAAAACUAUUCUCGUAGCCAAAAGAAUCCUGUUGAUUCAUCGCUUCUUGAUGUCGAUCUUGAUGAGGCGAUGAUCAAAGAGAGGGGCUAAUGUGAACCGGCCGUUUUGGACAGCGAAGAUUUGCUGUUUAUGCUCUAGACAUCCGGCAGCACAGGAAAUCCUGAAAGGGAUUGUUCAUUCCUAAGCUGGCUAUCUUCUUUAUGCGUCGUUAACGCAUAGUUUAAAUAGUUUUCGAUUGCAAAGAAGGAGGAUCUCAAAUGUUGACGUAAUUAAUUCUCGUUUUCCCAACAGGUCGAUAUUGGAAGGCUGCCCAGCGUCUAAAAAUUUACCAAUUGUAUGCAGCCCCUACCGCCAUUCGAUUAUUAUUGAAAUACGGCGACGAACAUGUCGAAAAAUAUGAUCUCAGCUCUCUCCGCACUCUGGGGUGAACCCAUUAAUGUGGAGGCUUGGCACUGGUAUAACAAAGCUGAGGGCAAAGAGAAAUGCGCCGUUGUGGACACUUGGUGAUGGCAAACGGAAACGGCAGGCAUUUGCAUCAGUCCAAUACCCUCGGCCCCUGGACCAGGAAUUCGUCCCGGCAUGCCGAUGAGGUCGGUGUUAGGAAUCUGGCCGGCUAUUCUAGGAGAAAAGACCAAAUGAACUUUGUCACAGUGGAGGCAGCACUCACAGAAGAAAGAAUUUUUCUGUAUCUGUCGCUAACCGUACGAUUAUUCCGAGUUGCAUGCAUGUUCACUGUCUCGGCGUUCUGUAUGAGUCGAUCGAAAGUACACGUUAUUUACACAUGUCCCAUUUGUGAACGUAUACGCGUAUACGUUAAUUACUUUGUUUCAGGAAUCCCCCACCAGGUGUCACUGCAGUUUAAUAACAACAAUGGCUGCCAUUGCCCACAUUGAUUAGUGACUGGUAGUGCUUAGUGGUCUGUCUUUCACGUUUCAAUGCAGUCUUAGGUGAACGUUUUUAAAUAUUUGUUUGGCGUUCGUUGCCUUGUAGAUUCUCUGAAAGUCGUGCUGGUAUUUUAGCAUAGUUGGUCCAGUUAAAGCGUGGUUAAAUCGUUGAAACAACUGAACCUGAAGAAAAGAAGAAUGCAAGUCAAGUCAUCUUGCGUCUUUUGACAUGUUUGUGGAUCAAGAAAGGAGGAAACCUGAAAGUUGUGGAGCCUAUCGUCACUAUUUUGCCCAAAAACAUUGUAUUCUACUGAUUGUGCCAUCGAAAUUAUACUGGAUUCAUCAUAGUUAUCUUCUGUUUGUAUUGGACUUACUAGAACACCAACCCCAGUGUGGACCAAUCUCUCAUUCCAUCUUCUAGAGUACCUUAUUGGAUCAUUGGAUCAGUGGUUUCAUGUGUUUCUAAAUUGACAUUACAGACUUGAUGUGAAGUCAUGUCCUUUCAAGAAAAAGGGCAAGGGCUUAGUCAACAAGAUUCAUUGUUUUCUAACUCGUCUCGUUCCGUUGAAUCUCCCCUUUACUUCCUUACACAGGCCCUCUUGUUUGGAGGGUAAUUCCUUCGUGAACUUCAUCCAUUGCUGAAAACCAACGAGAUCAUGCUGUAAUUCAAGACCGAUAAUUUGUCUAGUUAGCUAAAUUACAAGUGCAUAUCUGGG
rnacentral:lncRNA from 1 species